AUUGAACGCUGGCGGCAGGCCUAACACAUGCAAGUCGAACGAGUGGCGGACGUGUGAGUAAUGUCUGGGAAACUGCCCGAUGGAGGGGGAUAACUACUGGAAACGGUAGCUAAUACCGCAUACCAUCGGAUGUGCCCAGAUGGGAUUAGCUAGUAGGGGGGGUAACGGCUCACCUAGGCGACGAUCCCUAGCUGGUCUGAGCGGAUGACCAGCCAAAAUGGAACUGAGAAACGGUCCAGACUCCGACGGGAGGAAGCAGUGGGGAAUAUUGCACAAUGGGAGCAAGCCUGAUGCAGCCAUGCCGCGUGUAUGAAGAAGGCCUUCGGGUUGUAAAGUACUUUCAGUGGGGAGGCGUUACCAGCAGAAGAAGCACCGGCUAACUCCGUGCCAGCAGCCGCGGUAAUAC
rnacentral:rRNA from 1 species